UAAUUUAAUAGUUAAUAAAAUAUUCAAUCUGACUGAUCCAUUGGUUUAAUUUUAAAAUAAAGACGACUAAUAAAAGGAGUUACAUAUCCUUAUCAAAUCCCAGGCAUUAAUGCAAGUAAAUUGCAACCCAUACGUAGGGAAAACACCAAUUUCUAAGAGACAUGAGAUUAAUGAUUGGGGGCGGGAAGGAGUGCAAGGAAAAUUCUGUGUUAGCACUGGCUUCAAUAAGUUUGCCGGAAGUUUAAUUGUUUGGAGCUGUCACGGAAGCUGUACUCUGCCUUCUGCAGAGGUGAGGGAGAAAAAAUUAGAGAGGUGCAAGUUUUAACAGAAAGGGCUAAUGCAAAAUGGUCUAUUUAUUUUUCCUCAAGCCUUUCCCCUGUCCUCACAAGCUAGCUGGGGGAAAAAGGGAGAAAUCUCCUGAAGAAUAUGGAGCAUCCAGCUUCCCGAGCAUUGUCUAAGAGAACCAGGAUGGAGAGUCCAGGCAACAUCUCCAUGGUUGGCUUGUCUGGCGGAGUAAGCUGUGCCCUCGGCGCGGGUAUCUUCAGGAGACAGAGCUCCUGGCUGCAGCGAGCCGGGACUUGCCGCGCCCCGGGGCUCCCUCAAUCAGACCCAGCCAGGCAAGCGCGGCCACAUAGGCAAGCGCGGCCACAUAGGCUAGACGCACUAUCUUCUCCUCUACCCCGCGCCGCCCUCCACCUCGGAGCGGGGACGUACGGUGGUGGCGGUGACACAAUGCGAGUGAGUGGGUCAUCUGCAGUUUUUUGUUGUUGUUGAUGAUCUUCCUGUCAUAGACAAUGCUGUAACAAACAGACUAAUGCUUCAGAAGAAUUGUAAUAUUAGGUACUAUCUGCCUUUAAGAAAAUAGAAGCAGCUGGUGUGGUGGCUCAUGCCUGUAAUCCCAGCACUUUGGGA
rnacentral:lncRNA from 1 species